rnacentral:tRNA from 1 species
GGGGCCGUAGCCCAACGGCAGAGGCACAGGACUUAGGAUCCUGCGAGUAUGGGUUCAAAUCCCAUCGGCCCCACCG